UCGAAAACGGUUUACACUAGUUACCACAGCCACAAAGUCAACAGAGUAUAUAGUAAAAAUUCGUGGAAACAAAACUUUAGCUUUUUGGUCUUGAUUUAACGUUAGGGCUAGUAGUGGUGUGAUUAAGGCCAGGUUUAAAAUUCAAUUUUAAGAAGAGUAAUUGUAGAAAUAGGCUGGGAUAACUAGUGACGACCCUCGAAACUGGUCGCUUUCUACUUUUACGUAAACACGUCCACUUUACGUUCAUAUCAUAGUGUACAUCGCUGCUUGACUCACUGUAUUAAUUUAACCUAUUUAAUCCAAUCGGUGACAAUCGUGACCGUAAAAAAACGUUUUCAGUUAUAAGGCUCUAAAAUGUGUAUGUAUCAAUGCAUUCACUGCAAGUAUUGAAAUAAUAAAGGGUCCCAAUGAAAUAUGUGCAGUGUCACAUGUUUAGUGUAAUUUGUCACAUGACCAGAGCUGUUUACUUCCUGGUUGCACCAUGAGAAGACGAUGGCUGCAUCAAAGCUCCCAAACAAAAGUUUCACUUUGAGUCAAAUUCUGGAUAUGUUGGAUCUAGGUGACUUCCCAGACAAGGCAUGUAAACAUUGCAGUUAUCCCUCAUAAUGAGAAAGAUGCUGUCCUCCGUGAUUGUAAUAGUGACGGGUCAGAUAUGGACUAUGGACAGGCCAUUUGCCAGCCAGGCUGUUGAAUGCAUAUGCUGAUCCUAUGCAAACAGAUCAUGACAGGAACAACAUUAUCAGGGAUGAUGACCUAUCCACCCCCCAUUGUUAAUAAUGAAGAGCCAAGGGCCUCUACCUGACCGAGCGGUCAGCCAGAAGAGCCAGGGGAAAAGCUGCAAGUGGUCAAAAAUAAAGAUUGAGUGUUCAAAGAUGCCUGCCACCGAUGUGAUUCCAAACCACAUAGUAUACAGCCCAAAUGUGCAAAAGUUUGGCACGAAACCACUGAGCCACGGAAGGAGAUCUUUACUGGCUGUUACUGUUGAAGAUCAGGCAAGAUAUGACAAAGCUUCUUACUGGCCAAUCAACAUGAUGCACCGGUUCCAGAGAUGUCGUCAUUGUGACAAACACACUACCUAUGCAAGUGAAAAAUGCAAAGCGCCACUGUACAUUGAGUGCUUCAAAAUAUACCAUGGACAGUAGAAAAGGAGAUAAGAGUGAAUGAAAAAGGGCCGAAAAAGAAAAAUAGAAAAGUGGAUAAAGGGUGAGAAGAAGCAGUACAACAGACUCUUGGAAGAAAAUAAAAGUACACGAAAAAGACAAUCAAAAUGAAUCAAAAUAUUUUUUGGGGAAAAGGUCAAUUGAUUAGUGAUGCACAAACUAAUCAUGCACUUGGUUCUGAAGCCUACCUCUAUGAUAUAUAUAUAUAUAUGCACUCAAUGUGGUGCUUUUUAUGUAUAUAUAUUAUUUUGUUUAGCAUAGGCCUCUACUUGAAUGCAUAUUCUACAGGCUACCUCUAUCCUAAAUGUUACCUUUAUGUUCAGUGGAAAUUAAUCACACGACUGCUAUACAGUUAUGAGUGUUGCACUAAAAUGUCACAAUGACAAUGUUAAAAUGAAUAUUGCACUAAAGUACAAGUUCAAAUGUUAAAGUAACAAUAUUAAGAUCUCAAUACAUGUUGCACUAAAGUACAAGUGCAAAUGUUACAAUAAAGUAACAAUAUUAAUGUCUCAAUACAUGUUGCACUAAAGUAACAAUGUUGAAAUACGUU